CAAAGUGAUUUAAUUCCCAAAUGGCAGAGAAUUGAACAGCGAGACUCCAGGUGCAUGAUCUAUACACCAAAAUUGCCUUUUUUAAAGCUAGAGUUGUCUUGAUGCCUACAGUGUCUCUUUCAGUAGUCUGAAGAUUUCAGAAACCAUCUGUAUUUUUUUAAAAUUUAUAUUUUCUCAGUUCCCUGAAGAAUAUAUUGUAAAAAUGCAAGAGCCUGCAGCAACCACCUGUGUGUGACAAAAGUUCAGUUAACAAAGCAAGAGCUAAAAACUUGUAAAG